UACGUAGGGUGCGAGCGUUGUCCGGAAUUAUUGGGCGUAAAGAGCUCGUAGGCGGUGUGUCGCGUCGGUCGUGAAAAACUUGGGGCUUAACCCUGAGCUUGCGGUCGAUACGGGCAUCACUGGAGUUCGGCAGGGGAGACUGGAAUUCCUGGUGUAGCGGUGAAAUGCGCAGAUAUCAGGAGGAACACCGGUGGCGAAGGCGGGUCUCUGGGCCGAUACUGACGCUGAGGAGCGAAAGCGUGGGGAGCGAACAGG
rnacentral:rRNA from 1 species